UACGUAGGGUGCAAGCGUUGUCCGGAAUUACUGGGCGUAAAGGGCUCGUAGGCGGCCAACUAAGUCAGACGUGAAAUCCCCAGGCUCAACCUGGGAACUGCGUCUGAUACUGGAUGGCUUGAAUCCGGGAGAGGGAUGCAGAAUUCCAGGUGUAGCGGUGAAAUGCGUAGAUAUCUGGAGGAAUACCGGUGGCGAAGGCGGCAUCCUGGACCGGCAUUGACGCUGAGGAGCGAAAGCCAGGGGAGCAAACGGG
rnacentral:rRNA from 1 species